rnacentral:rRNA from 1 species
UUCCGGUUGAUCCCGCCGGACCCCACUGCUAUCGGGAUAGGACUAAGACAUGCUAGUCGUGUGCCUCAGCCAAAACGAGGCACGGCGCACAGCUCAGUAACACGUGGCUAACCUGCCCUUAGGACGAGAAUAACCCCGGGAAACUGGGGCUAAUGCUCGAUAGGUGAAGAACUCUGGAAUGAGUCUUCACUUAAAAGAGUCUGCGUUAUGCUCGUAGAUUUCGCCCAAGGAUGGGGCCGCGACCGAUCAGGUUGUUGGCGAGGUAAUGGCUCACCAAGCCUUUUACCGGUGCGGGCCGUGAGAGCGGGAGCCCGGAGAUGGGCACUGAGACGAGGGCCCAGGCCCUACGGGGCGCAGCAGUCGCGAAAACUUUGCAAUACACGAAAGUGUGACAGGGCUAUCCCGAGUGCCAUCCGCUGAGGAAGGCUUUUACCCAGUCUAGAAAGCUGGGGGAAUAAGGAGAGGGCAAGUCUGGUGUCAGCCGCCGCGGUAAUACCAGCUCUCCGAGUGGUGUGGAUGUUUAUUGGGCCUAAAGCAUCCGUAGCUGGCUAAGUUAGUCCCCUGUUAAAUCCAACGAAUUAAUCGUUGGAUCGCGGGGGAUACUGCUUGGCUAGGGGACGAGAGAGGCAGACGGUAUUUCCGGGGUAGGGGUGAAAUCCUAUAAUCCCGGGAAGACCACCAGUGGCGAAGGCUGUCUGCUAGAACGCGCCCGACGGUGAGGGAUGAAAGCUGGGGGAGCGAACCGGAUUAGAUACCCGGGUAGUCCCAGCUGUAAACGAUGCAGGCUAGGUGUUUGGACGGCCACGUGCCGUUCUAGUGCCGCAGGGAAGCUGUUAAGCCUGCCGCCUGGGGAGUACGAUCGCAAGAUUGAAACUUAAAGGAAUUGGCGGGGGAGCACCACAAGGGGUGAAGCUUGCGGUUUAAUUGGAGUCAACGCCGGG